rnacentral:tRNA from 1 species
GCUGAUAUGGCUCAGUUGGGUAGAGCGCACCCUUGGUAAGGGUGAGGUCCCCAGUUCGACUCUGGGUAUCAGCACCA